rnacentral:rRNA from 1 species
UACGAAGGGGGCUAGCGUUGCUCGGAAUCACUGGGCGUAAAGGGUGCGUAGGCGGGUUUUUAAGUCAGGGGUGAAAUCCUGGAGCUCAACUCCAGAACUGCCUUUGAUACUGAAGAUCUCGAGUCCGGGAGAGGUGAGUGGAACUGCGAGUGUAGAGGUGAAAUUCGUAGAUAUUCGCAAGAACACCAGUGGCGAAGGCGGCUCACUGGCCCGGUACUGACGCUGAGACGCGAAAGCCAGGGGAGCAAACGGG